GCUUAACACAUGCAAGUCGAGGGGCAGCAUGGUCUUAGCUUGCUAAGGCCGAUGGCGACCGGCGCACGGGUGAGUAACACGUAUCCAACCUGCCGUCUACUCUUGGACAGCCUUCUGAAAGGAAGAUUAAUACAAGAUGGCAUCAUGAGUCCGCAUGUUCACAUGAUUAAAGGUAUUCCGGUAGACGAUGGGGAUGCGUUCCAUUAGAUAGUAGGCGGGGUAACGGCCCACCUAGUCUUCGAUGGAUAGGGGUUCUGAGAGGAAGGUCCCCCACAUUGGAACUGAGACACGGUCCAAACUCCUACGGGAGGCAGCAGUGAGGAAUAUUGGUCAAUGGGCGAGAGCCUGAACCAGCCAAGUAGCGUGAAGGAUGACUGCCCUAUGGGUUGUAAACUUCUUUUAUAAAGGAAUAAAGUCGGGUAUGGAUACCCGUUUGCAUGUACUUUAUGAAUAAGGAUCGGCUAACUCCGUGCCAGCAGCCGCGGUAAUACGGAGGAUCCGAGCGUUAUCCGGAUUUAUUGGGUUUAAAGGGAGCGUAGAUGGAUGUUUAAGUCAGUUGUGAAAGUUUGCGGCUCAACCGUAAAAUUGCAGUUGAUACUGGAUAUCUUGAGUGCAGUUGAGGCAGGCGGAAUUCGUGGUGUAGCGGUGAAAUGCUUAGAUAUCACGAAGAACUCCGAUUGCGAAGGCAGCCUGCUAAGCUGCAACUGACAUUGAGGCUCGAAAGUGUGGGUAUCAAACAGGAUUAGAUACCCUGGUAGUCCACACGGUAAACGAUGAAUACUCGCUGUUUGCGAUAUACAGCAAGCGGCCAAGCGAAAGCGUUAAGUAUUCCACCUGGGGAGUACGCCGGCAACGGUGAAACUCAAAGGAAUUGACGGGGGCCCGCACAAGCGGAGGAACAUGUGGUUUAAUUCGAUGAUACGCGAGGAACCUUACCCGGGCUUAAAUUGCAGAUGAAUUACGGUGAAAGCCGUAAGCCGCAAGGCAUCUGUGAAGGUGCUGCAUGGUUGUCGUCAGCUCGUGCCGUGAGGUGUCGGCUUAAGUGCCAUAACGAGCGCAACCCUUGUUGUCAGUUACUAACAGGUUCCGCUGAGGACUCUGACAAGACUGCCAUCGUAAGAUGUGAGGAAGGUGGGGAUGACGUCAAAUCAGCACGGCCCUUACGUCCGGGGCUACACACGUGUUACAAUGGGGGGUACAGAGGGCCGCUACCACGCGAGUGGAUGCCAAUCCCAAAAACCUCUCUCAGUUCGGACUGGAGUCUGCAACCCGACUCCACGAAGCUGGAUUCGCUAGUAAUCGCGCAUCAGCCACGGCGCGGUGAAUACGUUCCCGGGCCUUGUACACACCGCCCGUCAAGCCAUGGGAGCCGGGGGUACCUGAAGUGCGUAACCGCGAGGAGCGCCCUAGGGUAAAACUGGUGACUGGGGCUAAGUCAUAAC
rnacentral:rRNA from 1 species